CCCUUAGAUGUUCUGGGCCGCACGCGUGCUACACUGAGUGGAUCAGCGGGUCAGGUUGCGCGAAAGCGUUUCCUAAUCUUUAAAUCCGCUCGUGAUGGGGAUUGACGGUUGCAAUUUUCUGUCAUGAACGAGGAAUACCUUGUAAGCGCGGGUCAUCAUCCCGCGCUGAAUACGUCCCUGCCCUUUGUACACACCGCCCGUCGCUCCUACCGAGUGAGUGGUCCGGUGAGGCUUUGGGAUCUGAGCGGAAAGAGCGUUUCGCUGUUUCUGCUCGGAAAACUCAGUCGAACCUUAUCAUUUAGAGGAAGGAGAAGUCGUAACA
rnacentral:rRNA from 1 species